GGGGCUGUAGCUCAAUUGGGAGAGUCCGGCAAAGCCGGAUUCGCAACGAACAGGUCGUCGGUUCGAUCCCGAUCAGCUCCA
rnacentral:tRNA from 1 species